rnacentral:rRNA from 1 species
AUUGAACGCUGGCGGCAUGCUUUACACAUGCAAGUCGAGCGGCAGCGCGGGGGCAACCCUGGCGGCGAGCGGCAGACGGGUGAGUAAUGCAUCGGAACGUAUCCCCGUAGUGGGGGACAACCCAGCGAAAGCUGGGCUAAUACCGCAUAUGCUCUACGGAGGAAAGUGGGGGACCCGCAAGGGCCUCACGCUAUGGGAGCGGCCGAUGUCCGAUUAGCUAGUUGGUGGGGUAAAGGCCCACCAAGGCGACGAUCGGUAGCUGGUCUGAGAGGAUGAUCAGCCACACUGGGACUGAGACACGGCCCAGACUCCUACGGGAGGCAGCAGUGGGGAAUUUUGGACAAUGGGGGCAACCCUGAUCCAGCCAUGCCGCGUGCGGGAAGAAGGCCUUCGGUUGUAACGCUUGUCGGUAGAAAGGCGGUCUCCUAAUACGGGCGUCUUGACGGUACCGGCAGAAU